UACGGGGGGGGCAAGCGUUGUUCGGAAUUACUGGGCGUAAAGAGCUCGUAGGCGGUUUGUCGCGUCGUCUGUGAAAACUCGAGGCUCAACCUCGAGCUUGCAGGCGAUACGGGCAGACUUGAGUACUGCAGGGGAGACUGGAAUUCCUGGUGUAGCGGUGAAAUGCGCAGGUAUCAGGAGGAACACCGGUGGCGAAGGCGGGUCUCUGGGCAGUAACUGACGCUGAGGAGCGAAAGCGUGGGUAGCGAACAGG
rnacentral:rRNA from 1 species